UGGGGAAUUUUGCACAAUGGGGGAAACCCUGAUGCAGCGACGCCGCGUGAUUUAGAAGGCCUUCGGGUUGUAAAAAUCUUUUUUAUGGGAUGAAAAUGACAGUACCAUAAGAAUAAGGUCCGGCUAAAUACGUGCCAGCAGCCGCGGUAAUACGUAUGGACCGAGCGUUGUCCGGAUUUAUUGGGCGUAAAGCGAGCGCAGGCGGUUAGAUAAGUCUGAAGUUAAAGGCAGUGGCUCAACCAUUGUAGGCUUUGGAAACUGUUUAACUUGAGUGCAGAAGGGGAGAGUGGAAUUCCAUGUGUAGCGGUGAAAUGCGUAGAUAUAUGGAGGAACACCGGUGGCGAAAGCGGCUCUCUGGUCUGUAACUGACGCUGAGGCUCGAAAGCGUGGGUAGCAAACAGG
rnacentral:rRNA from 1 species